rnacentral:rRNA from 1 species
CACGUAGGAGGCAAGCGUUAUCCGAAUUUACUGGGCGUAAAGCGCGUGCAGGCGGUUCGGUAAGUUGGAUGUGAAAUCUCCUGGCUCAACUGGGAGAGGUCGUUCAAUACUGUCGGACUAGAGGAUGGUAGAGGGAGGUGGAAUUCCCGGUGUAGUGGUGAAAUGCGUAGAUAUCGGGAGGAACACCAGUGGCGAAAGCGGCCUCCUGGACCAUUCCUGACGCUCAGACGCGAAAGCUAGGGGAGCGAACGGG